AUUGAACGCUGGCGGCAGGCCUAACACAUGCAAGUCGAACGAGUGGCGGACGGGUGAGUAAUGUCUGGGAAACUGCCUGAUGGAGGGGGAUAACUACUUGAAACGGUAGCUAAUACCGCAUUCCCUCCGAUGUGCCCAGAUGGGAUUAGCGAGUUGGUGGGGGAACGGCUCACCAAGGCGACGAUCCCUAGCUGGUCUGAGAGGAUGACCAGCCCAACUGGAACUGAGCCACGGGCCAGACUCCUACGGGAGGCAGCAGUGGGGAAUAUUGCACAAUGGGCGCAAGCCUGAUGCAGCCAUGCCGCGUGUAUGAAGAAGGCCUUCGGGUUGGAAAGUACUUUCAGCGGGGAGGCGUUACCCGCAGAAGAAGCACCGGCUAACUCCGUGCCAGCAGCCGCGGUAAUUC
rnacentral:rRNA from 1 species